UUUACAUGAAUCCCUAUCAAAUGAAACCAACAGCCUGGACGUGAACGACAUGUUUCCACUCAGUCAAAGCUACAUUGUAACAGACCGACAGACAGACCGGUACUAACACCUAUCAAGGCUGUGACAGUCAGACAUCACUACAACAACAUAUUGAUUUAUUAACCCGUAGCAUGUGACAUUUCUCUGUGUUGAAUCAAAGCUGGUGUUUGUCUAAUUUAAACUUGCACAGUGAUGAUGUGGAGACAGCUUCAGUUCAGUCAUAAAUCAGACACUUCUUCCUCUGUCUCUCUCUGUUGUCAUUCACAGCAGGGAGACACAUAAAACGGUCUACCUGUUACAGGACCAAUGACAACAACCAGGGCAGGAAGGAAGGAAGGAAGGAAGGAAGGAAGGAAGCUUUUCAUUCAGUCACCAAGAGGAUGAAAGGAGGAGAGAGGGAAUUUUACGACAGGGCUUUACUGAGGACCUGACUGAUGAAGAGGAGGCUGAGUGACGGCCGGAGCAGUGUGGUUUCCAUUAGUCAGUGACUGAGGGAGUUUGGUUUGGACAUGUGGAGCAGCAGGGUCCACACGUGAUUCCACUACACGACUGUGACCUGUGCUACCUGUGCAGACGCCCUGGACAUGUGCUGCCAGGUUCUGUGUCUGUUCCUCUGAUGUCACGUGGCUUUCCUUGAGGGUGGAGCUGGUCCGUCUCAUCUGACCAUCUGAAAACAGAUGAUAGGCUCAUUAAUCAGAGGAAACUCAAACAUUCAUCAGUGACGUGUUUGACAAUCAAAUCAACCACGGCUCUAUUUGCUCUUGUUCUAUUUUAUAGCCUCCUUUUUUCCAAAAGUUGAAAAACAUGUUUAAUGCAGCCACUAGGGGUGCACAGUAGGUGUUCUCCUGGUAUUAGUCUAAAGGUGGAUAAACUGGUAGGGGUUCCUUCAUGAAGACAGACCACGGCUGGUUAGUGAAGGUUACUGGUUACUCAGAGAACUGUGGCAUCAAAUCACUGAUUAUCUUUAAAGAACCCUCAGACUGUUCUGUGUCUACGUUCUAUAUCCUCACCGUCCUGCUAAGUCCACUAGUGUGGACCUGGUGGACCUAGCAGGUCCAACAUGAGCACAUGUUCACAGCCAACUUUGAAAAUAAACCCAUGGGAACAAAAGCAGCUGGACAUCUCACCGUGACCCCUCCAGCAGAUGGGGGCGCCUUUCACAAGGACU